GGGGGGGGCAAGCGUUGUUCGGAAUUACUGGGCGUAAAGGGCGCGUAGGCGGCCAUCUAAGUCAGACGUGAAAUCCCUCGGCUCAACCGAGGAACUGCGUCUGAUACUGGAAGGCUUGAAUCCGGGAGAGGGAUGUGGAAUUCCAGGUGUAGCGGUGAAAUGCGUAGAUAUCUGGAGGAACACCGGUGGCGAAGGCGGCAUCCUGGACCGGUAUUGACGCUGAGGCGCGAAAGCUAGGGGAGCAAACGGGAUUAGAUACCCCGGUAGUCCUAGCCCUAAACGAUGAGUGCUUGGUGUGGCGGGUAUCGAUCCCUGCCGUGCCGAAGCUAACGCAUUAAGCACUCCGCCUGGGGAGUACGGUCGCAAGGCUG
rnacentral:rRNA from 1 species